AUUGAACGCUGGCGGCAGGCCUAACACAUGCAAGUCGAGCGGAGCGGCGGACGGGUGAGUAAUGCCUAGGACUCUGAAUGGUAGUGGGGGAUAAGGUCCGGUAAUGGGAGCUAAUACCGCAACCUCUCACAUGAGCAUAGGUCGGAUUAGCUAGUUGGUGGGGUAAAGGCCACCAAAGGCGACGAUCCGUAACUGGUCUGGGAGGAUGAUCAGUCACACUUGAACUGAGACACGGUCCAGACUCCUAGGGGAGGCAGCAGUGGGGAAUAUUGGACAAUGGGCGAAAGCCUGAUACAGCCAUGCCGCGGGUGUGAAGAAGGUCUUCGGGUUGUAAAGCACUUUAAGUUGGGAGGCGUUACCAGCAGAAUAAGCACCGGCUAACUUCGUGCCAGCAGCCGCGGUAAUUC
rnacentral:rRNA from 1 species